UACGAAGGGUGCAACCGUUGCUCGGAAUUAUUGGGCGUAAAGGGCUCGUAGGUGGCCAACUAAGUCAGACGUGAAAUCCCUCAGCUUAACUGGGGAACUGCGUCUGAUACUGGAUGGCUUGAGAUUGGGAGAGGGAUGCGGAAUUCCAGGUGUAGCGGUGAAAUGCGUAGAUAUCUGGAGGAACACCGGUGGCGAAGGCGGCAUCCUGGACCAACACUGACACUGAGGAGCGAAAGCCAGGGGAGCAAACGGG
rnacentral:rRNA from 1 species